UUCACGAACUAUGUGAGACAUUUGAAAAGAUGAAAAAUCAUCGCUACCAACGACAGAGAGAUGCCGUCUUUAAACUGUUGAAGAGCAAAUAUUACCAAUGCUAGAACCAGAUCCCACAAGAAGGGGAGUGAUCGCCUUUCUGACAUAAUCUGGAGUAAAGGUUGGGCUUAAAUAGUCCGUAGUAGAUGGUUGUUUCCUUCACAGCUGAUACGAAAAAAUCAGCGUUAUACCGAGCAACAGUAGAAAGAAAAGUGAUGAGGCGGACUGCCCGCUGCUGUUUCGGUGGUGUUUCCUAAAUUUCUUAGAGAGGAGCACCAGUUUUCUCUGAUGCAACGUAUAAUUAAAGAUUUUGUAGAAAUGGUUGAAAUGCCGAUUCUAUGUUUGCUUUUAUGGUCCACCUCAUUCUGGCAAUGUUAGAAUUCUGCAGUCAUUAGACUACGGCCAUGAUGGAGCACCGCCUUAAAGAAUUUCUAGUUAAAUGAAUCAGCCUGAUUCUUUAAACCUGGUACUUUUGCUGGACCGCCAGGUUACAAGAAUGUAAACACACUAGCACCUGAGGUCAA
rnacentral:lncRNA from 1 species